UACGUAGGUGGCAAGCGUUACUCGGAAUCACUAGGUGUAAAGCGCAGGUAGGAGGUUGGAUAAGUCUGUUGUGAAAGCUCCCGGCUUAACUGGGAGAGGCCAACGGAAACUAUUCGGCUGGAGUGCGGUAGAGGUAGCUGGAAUUCCCGGUGUAGCGGUGAAAUGCGUAGAUAUCGGGAGGAAUACCUAUGGCGAAAGCAGGCUACUGGACCGUCACUGACUCUGAUCUGCGAAAGCUAGGGGAGCAAACAGG
rnacentral:rRNA from 1 species